rfam:Planctomycetes bacterium GWF2_42_9 gwf2_scaffold_2418, whole genome shotgun sequence.
GGGCUUGUAGCUCAGCGGUAGAGCAGUGGACUCAUAAUCCAUUGGUCCAAGGUUCGAAUCCUUGCAGGCCCA